UUGAUUAUCAGUUCAUUGUGGUUUUCGUUUACCAAUGUAUUUGGUUGGUUUGUUGAGAUGUGCUAAUUGUCCGUCGAUCUAACUGGGUUGCAUUUGCUUUGUGAAUUGUUCAUUUUGAUGAUCAAUUUAUUGUGGUUUGUUUUACAAUAUAUCUGGCUUGUUGAGAUGUUUUGUAUUGUUUGUGGAUGCAACUUUUUUUAAUUUUUAAUUAAUUUAUUUGUUUGCUAUUUGAUGAUUAUUAAUUCAUUGUGAUUUUCUGUUACCAAUGUGUAUGGCUGAUUUGUUAAGAUGUGCUAAUUGUCCAUCAAUCUAAUUUGGUAGCAUUUACUUUGUGAAUUGUUCAUUUUGAUUAUCAGUUUACUUUGGUUUGUUUUACAAUGUAUUUGGCUAGUUUGUUGAGAUGUGUUGUGUGUUCGUCGAUUUAAUAUUGUUGCAUUUACUUGGUAAUCUGUUCAUUUAGAUUAUCAAUCCAUCGCGGUUUUUAUUUCCGUUGUAUAUGGCUGGUUUGUUGAGAUGUGUUAGUUGCACGUGAAUCUAAUUUGGUUGCAUUUACUUAGUGAUUGAUCUUUUUGAUGAUCAAUUCAUUGUGGUUUGUUUUACAAUGUAUUUGGCUGGUUUGUUGAGAUGUGAUGUAUGUGGAUUUAAUUUGAUUGUUCAUUUUGAUGACUGAUUCAUCGUGAUUUUGGUUUUCCAAUGUAAUUGGAUGUUUAGUUGAGAUGUGUUAUGUUGCCUGUUGAUAUAAUUUGGUUGCAUAUACUUAGUGAUUAUUUGUUUUGGUUCUUGAUAUAUUGAAAGGUUCAGUUUUAACGGAUAGGACUUGGGGUCGGAUUGGAAAAUAAAUAUGCAUUUUUCCCUGCAUUAGAAGGUUGACGUGGCUGAGGACAAUUCACUACCAAGCAAACUUUAUUCAUAAGAACAUUGUAUCUUUUUUCAGCCCAACUUAACAGUAGGGUGAAGAACUGAAUAACCUUAAAAUGUUUUGUUGUAUAGUCUGAGCUUUAAAAGAUGUUCUUGUUAACAUUGUUUAAUUUUCCUUACCAACCUCGGUUCUACAAAGCAUGAGCGGUAUAAAUAAUACCCUGAUCUAGCUCGAGUCUUGCUAUUGCUUUAUGGUGGUAUAUAAUUCAGGCACACAACCAAUGGAGGUGUAAAUUAAUAUUUGUAAAAUCAUUUUUGUAUUCUCAUUUACAUUUGGGUGGAUCUAAAUUCCAGUUUUGCUUCAAUGAGAAGAUUUAAAUUCAUUUUUUGCCUCUUAUGAAUGUAAAAUAAGAUAUAAAUUUAAAUCUUUUUUUACAUUUUCUGUCAAAAAAUGUAAUUUAUUUUUUCCUUUGCAUCUCUUCUCUAGAAAUGUUUUCGACUGGUAAAGAUUUAAAUUUAUUUUACAUCAUGAUUGGAGAUGCUUUUAGAUGCAGAAUAGAGCUGGUAGUUUGCAAGGCUCAUAAGCUCGAGGCUACGGACUCAAAUUUAGGAGUGAACAAAAAAAUUGUCAACUCGAACCCAAAUUGUGAUUUGGAAAUUGGUUGGUUUAGUUUUCAAUAUUUUGAAAGAGAAACAAACCUUUUGACAAUAGUUGGGUUCAGGUUGGAUGGUUUAAGAUCGCUUAAAAUCAAAUCAAAUUAUUUGCCCAAUUCUAAAUUUCCAGUAAAUUUCUAAACUAUUGUUCAUUUCCAGUAAAUUUCUGAUUUUUUUACCUCUAAUGGUUUACCAUUUGUCAAGCAUUCUAUUUUCUUUUACAGGAAGGCAGGUCACUAGCUCUGUUAUACAGUCUUAAAGGUUUAUUUUGAUUUCAAACCACCGUCCACUUUUAUCAAAUUUCUGAAAAAUUAUUUUGCUUCUCUAAUUGUUUACCAUUUGUCAAAGCAAUGUAUUUUCUUUGACAGGUAGGACAUACAGCUCAUUCAUACAGCCCUGAAGAAUGUUUUGCAGCCUUUUCUAUGGUUUGCAGCUUUUGCUUACUUUUGUUGGAAGGUUUGGCAGAAGUUGAUAUUGAUGAUCAUUGCAAGUCUUUCAAGCUCAGUGGCUGCUCUUAAACUCAAUUAGGUUACAAGGGCACGAAAUCCUCUUCCCAGAAAGAAGCAAAAGAGAACUUCCAUUUGUAAAAAAGCUAUUGAUAAGGAAAAGGCAUGGAAUUCGCAGCAGAAGCUGAAUUACAACUCACCAUCAAAGAAGAAGAUGACGAGUUCAGAUUGUCAAGGAAGGUAAAGUUCAUCAAUGCGUUUGGUUUCUGCUCAGAAUUUAUAGAUAUAAAUUGGCGAAACCUUUUGUUAUGUUAAACUGUAUUUUUUCCAUAAUAAUAUGGGAGCUCAAAGAAGAAGCACACAGACCAUUGAAGCGUCAAUCCUUCGGAAAGACAUCCUGCGGCCAGACAUAAAUUUGUUACUACUUUUCUCUAAUAUCCUUAAACCCGAAAAGCUGGGCUGACUUUAUUGCCCGGUCUGUCGAGAAAGAUUACUUUUUGGCCAAGAAGUUGAUAGUGAGAUCUCAAAUCAACUUAUUGGUCUUAUGGCAUGAAAUUCCAGCAGGAAAGGAAGAAAUUGCCCCAUCUUUUUUAGCCAAAUUCUUUCUUAUUUUGCUGUUCGGCCAGGGAAAGAGGAUGAUCUCGUUUUCCUUAUCUCGUGCAAUGUGUAUGGUCUUGGACCAUCAAUAAUGAUUUUUCUUUAGAAUUCGGCUACUUGAUUGAUCCACUUACUUCUAUUAUGUCAAUUUUCUAAUCGAUUGUUCUGCAAUAAUACUCAUAGCUUCUCCUAAUUCAACCAGGUCACCAUGGAGAGUAAAUUUUUCUUUCUUGUUGGAUUUCUACUUUCUUUCCUUUAAAAUAGUUCAAGAUCAUACUAUAGAUACCAUGAGUUUCCAAUUGAAGCUUAGAUUGAGGUGAUUUAUCUAUUCCAAGAGCAGGGCUCUUUUCUUUUCCUC